AACUUUCGGCAAUGGAUCUCUUGGUUCUGGCAUCGAUGAAGAACGCAGCGAAAUGCGAUAAGCAGUGUGAAUUGCAGAAUUCAGUGAAUCAUCGAAUCUUUGAACGCACAUUGCGCCCCUUGGUAUUCCAUGGGGCAUGCCUGUUCGAGCGUCAUUUGUACCCUCCAGCCCUGCUGGGUGUUGGGCGUUUGUUCCGCCGCGCGCGUGAACUCGCCUCAAAUGCAUUGGCAGCCAGCCGUCCCGCGUGGGAGCGCAGCACAUUUUGCGCUCUCCGCUGGGUGCGGCGGCGUCCACAAGCCUAUACCUUUACGCUUGACCUCGGAUCAGGUAGGGAUACCCGCUGAACUUAAGCAUAUCAAUAAGCGGAGGCU
rnacentral:misc_RNA from 1 species